GCAAACUUGGUCAUUUAGAGGAAGUAAAAGUCGUAACAAGGUUUCCGUAGGUGAACCUGCGGAAGGAUCAUUAACAAAUCCAGUGUUCUGUUGUUGUUCAUGCAUCCAUUUGCAUGCAUCAUCAGUCACACAUGUUCCGUGUGCACGUUCGCUCUGCACAUGUGCUCACAUUUCUGUUUGAUUGUCUGAUUGACUGUUGAAUAAUACACGAUAAUGACUUUUAACAAUGGAUCUCUAGGCUCUUGCAUCGAUGAAGAACGCAGC
rnacentral:misc_RNA from 1 species